AUUGAACGCUGGCGGCAGGCCUAACACAUGCAAGUCGAACGAGUGGCGGACGGGUGAGUAAUGUCUGGGACACUGCCCGAUGGAGGGGGGUAACUGCUGGCAACGGUAGCUAAUACCGCAUACCAUCGGAUGUGCCCAGAUGGGUUUAGCUAGGAGGUGGGGUAACGGCUCACCUAGGCGACGAUCCCUAGCUGGUAUGAGAGGAGGACAAGCAACACUGUAUAUGAGCCACGGUCCAGACUCUUACGGGAGGAAGCAGUGGGGAAUAUUAAACAAGUGGCGGAAGCCUGAUGCAGCCAGGCCGCGUGUAUGAAGAAGGCCUGCGGGUUGUAAAGUACGUUCAGCGAGGAGGCGGUACUCGCAGAAGAAGGACCGGCUAACUCCGUGCCAGCAGCCGCGGUAAUUC
rnacentral:rRNA from 1 species